rnacentral:miRNA from 1 species
ACAAACAUCACAUUUGUAAGGUU